rnacentral:rRNA from 1 species
GACGAACGCUGGCGGCGUGCUUAACACAUGCAAGUCGAGCGGUAAGGCCCUUUCGGGGUACGACGAGCGGCGAACGGGUGAGUAACACGUGGGUGACCUGCCCUCCAGCUCUGGGAUAAGCCUGGGAAACCGGGUCUAAUACUGGAUAUGACUCCAUGACGCAUGUUGUGGGGUGGAAAGCCUUGUGCGGCUGAGGAUGGGCCCGCGGCCUAUCAGCUUGUUGGUGGGGUGAUGGCCUACCAAGGCGACGACGGGUAGCCGGCCUGAGAGGGCGACCGGCCACACUGGGACUGAGACACGGCCCAGACUCCUACGGGAGGCAGCAGUGGGGAAUCUUGGACAAUGGGCGCAAGCCUGAUCCAGCCAUGCCGCGUGGAUGAUGAAGGCCCUAGGGUUGUAAAAUCCUUUCGUUGGGGACGAUAAUGACGGUACCCAAAGAAGAAGCUCCGGCUAACUUCGUGCCAGCCGCCGCCGU